rnacentral:rRNA from 1 species
UAAGGAAUAUUGGUCAAUGGACGCAAGUCUGAACCAGCCAUGCCGCGUGAAGGAUGAAGGUCCUCUGGAUUGUAAACUUCUUUUAUCUGGGACGAAAACGGGAUUUUUAUCUCAAUUGACGGUACCAGAGGAAUAAGCACCGGCUAACUCCGUGCCAGCAGCCGCGGUAAUACGGAGGGUGCGAGCGUUAUCCGGAUUUACUGGGUUUAAAGGGUGCGUAGGUGGGCUUAUAAGUCAGUGGUGAAAUCCCCGAGCUUAACUUGGGAACUGCCAUUGAUACUAUAUAUCUUGAAUACCGUAGAGGUAAGCGGAAUAUGUCAUGUAGCGGUGAAAUGCUUAGAUAUGACAUGGAACACCAAUUGCGAAGGCAGCUUACUAUGCGGUGAUUGACACUGAGGCACGAAAGCGUGGGGAUCAAACA